GAUGAACGCUGGCGGCGUGCCUAAUACAUGCAAGUCGAGCGAACAGAUGAGGAGCUUGCUCCUCUGACGUUAGCGGCGGACGGGUGAGUAACACGUGGAUAACCUACCUAUAAGACUGGGAUAACUUCGGGAAACCGGAGCUAAUACCGGAUAAUAUAUUGAACCGCAUGGUUCAAUAGUGAAAGACGGUUUUGCUGUCACUUAUAGAUGGAUCCGCGCCGCAUUAGCUAGUUGGUAAGGUAACGGCUUACCAAGGCAACGAUGCGUAGCCGACCUGAGAGGGUGAUCGGCCACACUGGAACUGAGACACGGUCCAGACUCCUACGGGAGGCAGCAGUAGGGAAUCUUCCGCAAUGGGCGAAAGCCUGACGGAGCAACGCCGCAUGAGUGAUGAAGGUCUUCGGAUCGUAAAACUCUGUUAUUAGGGAAGAACAAAUGUGUAAGUAACUAUGCACGUCUUGACGGUACCUAAUCAGAAAGCCACGGCUAACUACGUG
rnacentral:rRNA from 1 species